CAGCAGCACUUGAAUUAUAGCCUGCCAAGUGUUUGAAUAAAUGCCAAAGCCAAACUACCGAGUGCAUCACUAGUAACUUAUUGAAAUAUAAGCAGUUCAUGAAGUGCUCAAAUGUUGGAGAAUGAGAAAAUGAUGCUCUUACUACAAGCAAAAACUCCGAUCUUCUUUUUUGCCCUUUUUCUUUUUUGGGGGUUUGAGUUUCUUUAAGUUGUUUUGAAGGUGUAACUUUUGAUUGCAGUUUAUCAUCAAUGGAGAAUCAAAAGAUGGAGAGAAGAAACGGAUUUGAACCAAAUUAUGGUGGAUUUUAUGGACUCAACAAAAAAUACCAACCCAUCUACAUCUACUCUGACUGCUUCGCGAAAUCAGGAGCGCAAUCUUUUAUCAUUUUCUCUAACUUCUCCAGAACUUGAUCUUGAUUUUUCUCGGUUGCUCGCAUCU